ensembl:snoRNA SNORA74 Small nucleolar RNA SNORA74
CCCAGCUAUAGGCAACUGCCUAGGUUGUCUUGUACCUAGGUAAGUGUUAACACUGCUGGGAGAAAGGCAAUCAAUAUCUAAUGUGAAUUCUGGGCCUGGUUAAGCCAAAUU